UCUGUAAACCACAUCAAAUUGAAGUAAAUAUAGCACUGCAGGAGUUACGCAGUUGAAAUUUUAAUAUUUUCAGUUGAAAUAUGGGUUCCAAUGAACGAGAAUCGCGGUCGUCAGAAUCACGUUCGGAUGAUCCAUUAAAUGACGGUAUGGUGCCAUCAAAGAGAUCUCGCUCGGAGUCGGGUAAGUGCAGUAAAUCAUUUAAAAUAAAUACCUAGUAUAUUAUCUUUUAAAGUAAAAUUUAAAAGCCAUAAAUGAAUGGAAACAGCAAAAUUUUAAAAUAAAUACCAAUGUGUGUACGUUUGCCACGAGGGUUUUGUAUGUUGCGGUUUGCUAGUUUUUUGUAACAAAAAUUGUCCAGUAUUUACAUGCUUGUGUUAUUGUAUUGAAUAUUAAGUAUUUUUAGUUAAUUAGCAGCGUUUUCUGAAUGGAGUAAAAUUGUUAGG